CUCUAAAUCAUCUCAAAAAUAAUUAGUUACUGCUAGUUUAACUUAAGUAAAUAUGUCUGCCUGUAUUGUUGUUUAAUGUCGGUAGUACUUCUAUGCUAUUCUGUUCAUGGAAUUAUUGCCUGAUGUUUACGUUUAGUUCAUGAAAAUCCUAGGCCUCAAUCAGCCACGUGUCUCAGUUUCAAAUGGCUGCAGUACCGAUGACUGGUUGCUACUUACCCAUGCACUAAUGAUGAUAUAAAUGUUGGUAGGGACAUCUGAGUUUUCAUUGAGAAAAUACCAACUUUUCUUCUUCUUGUCUGAUCACAUGGGAGCAACGCUCAAUGUAGUUCUUUCUCAUGGUAAAACAUCGGCCAUAACUAAGUACUGCGUGUCUUCUUAUUCCCUGCAGUGGCGCCAUGAUGUCGGCAAUGACUCCGUUAUCAUUCACUAGGUUAACCAGCCUGUGUUGGCUUUGUGAUGGGACUCGACCUUUUAUUGAAUCGUGUUUCAGUCACUAGGUAACAUGGCUGCCUUGUAUUUGUGACGGAAAUCACAUUUUCAAUCGGGUACGUUUCUCAACUGCUUAUCCAACAGUAUUUCAAGUCGAGGAUGAUUAUGUAAGAGUAGUGGACAGAAGGGAUUUCUGAUUAAACUUACGCUGAGACUUGUUCAUCUGGCUUUUCUGCAUCUUGGGUGACAGUGACUCGGUACUAACGUCUGAUUGUUCUACAGGAAACAUACUGAACACAUGGUAGCAAGUUUGCUGCGAGUUUUGCUCAGCGAGGUGCUGACUAACUUGAAGAUCUAGCGACGCUACCUCUCCAGGUCAGAUGCUGAUAGUUAUCCAGAUGACAUGAUCGACUCCAAGAAUGGUGCUCAUCAUGUACCAUCCAUCCCCGGAUCGUUGAUGGAUCCAAAGUGGCAGAUGCCUCCCUGAAGUGCAGUCUCCCAAUAAACUAGAAAGCCUCGGGAUGUGCUUUGCAUUGCUUAUCGCAAGGCGAUGGGACUACUUGACUGGAGAGAUGCAGUUUACUCCUGAGCAUGAGGCGGUAGCGGUCAACUUGGUGGCUUGGUCUACUGCCGGUUCCAGAAAGCCUCCAUGGAGAAGAUGACUUGUAUCCUGCCCUUGAAAGCACCUCUAGAAAUAGUAAAAAUUAAAUGGUAACAUGCAUAAAUCCACAGCACCCAGACAUAUAGCGCUUGCAUGGGAGCCAAGUGUGUCUCACUGGCUAUCAUGGUCUAAUGGGUUUCAAAUAGUCUGGCCUUUGAUGAUAAAGGGAUGCUGACAUAACCGUGGAGUCUAAUCUAUUAGCUCUAGCUGAAUGAGGUCUGAGCAACAUUCUGAUGGCAUGUCUCAUCAAUGCCUUGCACUCAUUGUGUUUAUGUUUUUGGUCUAAGAUUUUGAGGAAGCGAAGGCCAUGUCAAAGGUGAGUUUCCAGCAUCUAAAGUGAUUGGCUUUGUGGGUUCUGUGAUGUCACAAAUGUCUGACCUGAACAUAAAUGUGGACAGUCUACUUACUGAGUAACCUGCUAGUUGACACGCUUCUCCUUGAUUCUAAAGUGUGCCUUACAGUUGUUUGCUUUCUUUCCUAAAAGGUGGAUGGCAAAUCGGAUUCAUUGGUUAGUUACUGAUCACGCUAUGCACACAUGUAUUUAUAGGCAACAAAUGAUGAAACUAUUCUGCCAAAUGAUUAAUAUGAUUAUAACCCUACCGUUUCCAUAUUACUCUGAUUGUUGCUACAUUACAAACAGCGCGUUUUCCCUAGUUGGCAUUGUUCUGAUUAUUAUUCCUUUUGCCCUUCAUGUUGAUUCUACUGGUUUCUCAAGUCAACGCAGUGUUUCCCGUAGACCAAUGUGUGGCGCAGCAGUGAAAUGCGGUUAUAGUUUAUAUAUUACGAU